CUAGCUCUUCGUCUCCAAACGUUUAUGCUCGCUUCAUACUUUCUUCUUCUCGAAGUUACUUCGGUGGAGCUUAUAACUACCCAUUACCUCAGGCAAGCAUACUCUACAAUGAUUUUAUUUUGCAAUCCUUUUUAAUGUGUUUGUAUCCCACAAUUUUUUUGGGUUUUUUCACCCCUUCCGCUUCAGAGAUUUGAAUUGUUAAGGGCCUCUAGGAUUAGUUGAGCUUUCCAGUUGAAGUACUGAACAUCACACGCCGCCUCAAGCCGUUAAUUGUACUUUCGCCGCCAAACUUUACCUUAUUGAUUAGGUGCUCCGCUGAAGUUUGCAGCUAUCUAUUACCUUACGUAAGCAUAUUCCACAAUGUUUUUCCAUUAUUUUGGUUCCUUAGCUAUACUUCAGCGAUUUCGUUUUCUCAUCCUUUUUUGAUUUGUUUAUAUUCACGGGUUUUGUGGGUUUUUUCACUCUUCCUGUUUCAGUCGCUAUUUGUUGUUGUUUGUAUCACUGCCCUUUGCCUCAUCUUAGCGAGCGUGGUAUGCAAGAUUUUAACUGCUAUAUUUGCCAUGAUCAACUGAUUUUCUCAGAGUAGUUCUCCCUCUGAAAAAUUCUGUUUAAGACUGAAUUCAUAAUGUUCAGUUCUUUCUCAUCCCUUCGACCAUGAUUUGAGCCAUAAUUGUAAAGUGAUUUUUGCUUGUCUGUAUAGGUAGUACCAGAGUUCUAUUCACAUUCACAAAAAUGGAUAAGUAAAGAAGGAACUUCAACUCGCUGAAAACUGUAUUUAUGCUUACCAGUUCCCCUAAGAUAAAGUGAUUUUAUGUAGCAUUCUCACUCACAUUUCAAAAGAAGAAAAAAGUGUUCCUUUGCCUCCUCUAUUCUAACCCUCCUGCCAUUAUACAUGGUGAAAAGUUUGAGUGCUGUCACACUUUCACCUAAACCACCAAUAUAGAUUCUUAUGGUUUCGGUGAUGCAUUGCCUCCUUCGUCCGUCGCCAUCUCUUCCGGUGCUGUUAUGUUCAACUCAAUGAAGCUCUUUGGUUGAAGUUAUGCUGCCAGCGAAUUGAUGUCCACUAAUCGGGGUAGCAAUUGGGUGUGAAAUAGAAAUGUUAUGAGAUUUCUUCAAGAAUCUGAAAUUUUAUAUACUUCAAUAUAUUGUCGAUUCAAAUUCAUUGUCUGCCUUUUAGUAUUUUAAAUGCAGAUAAUUUCCUACAAAAAGCUUGCGGAGAAAUGUCUCCAACAAACCAAAUAAACUAUCUACAUACAGAAGAACAAAUUUAUCAAAUGAAACUCAAAAGGCGUGAUGCUUAUAUAAAGAUAAAAGCUGAUAAAAAAAACAGGCGAUAUUAGCAGAGAGGCGCACCAGAGAAUUACGAAAAAGGUAAAUCACGUGUUCUCCGUCCAACUGAAGAAACAAAGCGUUAUUGCGCCCCUAUAUUAUCAAGGCAAACUGGUCUUACUAUAAAAGAGCCCUCUUCUAUUAAUAUCAAGGUUGGAAUGAAAAAUUUCUGCUUGUUCACUUUUACUAAUAUCAAAUUACAAAGAUCCAAUUAUGUGCUAACCUAAUCGAUAAUGUUUUUUAUAUACCGUCCAGAAAAAGGAUGCUAUGAAAUUAGUUCUUCUAACAAAAGAGAACAAGUCCUCCCAUCUUUCUAUGUAUUUGAAAAAGGUAAAUAUAUAAUUUCUAUCUUUUAGCUUUUUAGUUGCAUCAUGUGUUAGAUAUGCAUCUAAAUUUUUCCGAUUUAUAUGUUAUGCUCAAUAUCCGGCACAUGUAGGGAACAACAAAAUGUCACUCCUGAGGUCAUUUCUAUCUCAAACUCAACAUCCAACGCAUGUACAGAACAACAAAAUGUCUCUUCUAAAAAGUCGCUACAGAGAAAGGUUGGUAUUCAUUUUAUAUGGAAGUAAUUUCUCCUAUUACUUUAUUAGAAUGUCAGAUUAUACUCAGUUUUGACAGUACUUGUGACAUACAGGUAAUAGGCUAAAAGCAGACUCCCAUAAAAAAUUAAUGAUAAUCG
rnacentral:lncRNA from 1 species